CUGAUUUCAUCGAUAUUCACUGCUCCUGUGGCCAGAUGGAAUGCCCCUUACAAGGCAGGCAUCCUGAUAAAUGAGUGCUGGACAAGCAAAUAAUCAACAGCAAAUCCUGCCAGAUUUGAAGCCUCAGUAGUAUUCCUCCUCUCGUUCCACAUGGACCCAGACCGGGCUGGGUUUCAGCAGCUAAGUAUGUCCUUUGAAUAUUGACUCCUAUUUGAAGAUAACCUUGAAUGUCCGACUGUGGAUUCCUUCAAGAACUAGAACCUGGGUUUUCCGGACACCCGCCAGGGCACAAAACAAGUUUCAGUGGCCGAGGUGGCAGCUCUGUGAGGUCCAGAAGCCUUCCUCAGGCCUCCUGCCCCAGCCUGCGUGCGCCUG